rnacentral:rRNA from 1 species
AACGAACGCUGGCGGCAUGCCUAACACAUGCAAGUCGUACGAGACCUUCGGGUCUAGUGGCGCACGGGUGCGUAACGCGUGGGAACCUGCCCUUAGGUUCGGAAUAACUCCCCGAAAGGGGUGCUAAUACCGGAUAAUGUCUUCGGACCAAAGAUUUAUCGCCUUUGGAUGGGCCCGCGUUGGAUUAGCUAGUUGGUAGGGUAAAAGCCUACCAAGGCGACGAUCCAUAGCUGGUCUGAGAGGAUGAUCAGCCACACUGGGACUGAGACACGUCCCAGACUCCUACGGGAGGCAGCAGUGGGGAAUAUUGGACAAUGGGCGAAAGCCUGAUCCAGCAAUGCCGCGUGAGUGAUGAAGGCCUUAGGGUUGUAAAGCUCUUUUACCCGGGAUGAUAAUGACAGUACCGGGAGAAUAAGCUCCGGCUAACUCCGUG